GGACGAACGCUGGCGGCGUGCUUAACACAUGCAAGUCGAACGGGGAUACGAAACGGAAGGUUCGGCCGGAAGGGACGUAUUCGAGUGGCGGACGGGUGAGUAACGCGUGAGCAAUCUGUCCCAGACAGGGGGAUAACACUUGGAAACAGGUGCUAGUACCGCAUAAGACCACGAUACCACAUGGUAACGGGGUAAAAGGUGCAAACCGGUUUGGGUGAGCUCGCGUCCGAUUAGAUAGUUGGUGAGGUAACGGCCCACCAAGUCGACGAUCGGUAGCCGGACUGAGAGGUUGAACGGCCACAUUGGAACUGAGAGACGGUCCAAACUCCUACGGGAGGCAGCAGUGGGGAAUAUUGGGCAAUGGGCGAAAGCCUGAACCCCCAGCAACGCCGCGUGAGUGAAGAAGGCCUUCGGGUUGUAAAGCUCUGUUAUAGGUGACGAAGGAAGUGACGGUAGCCUAUAAGGAAGCCCCGGCUAACUACGUGCCAGCCGCUGC
rnacentral:rRNA from 1 species